ACAGCAUCAGUGAUGACAAAAACCUUGUAAUCAUCCUUGCACUUUGAAUUUUUAUAGUGAAGAAAACUAAUGGGGAAAUAUUAGUCUGAGAUGCUU